UACGGAGGGGACUAGCGUUGUUCGGAAUUACUGGGCGUAGAGCGCACGUAGGCGGAUUUGUAAGUCAGGGGUGAAAUCCCGGGGCUCAACCUCGGAACUGCCUUUGAUACUGCAAAUCUCGAGUCCGGAAGAGGUGAGUGGAAUUCCUAGUGUAGAGGUGAAAUUCGUAGAUAUUAGGAAGAACACCAGUGGCGAAGGCGGCUCACUGGUCCGGUACUGACGCUGAGGUGCGAAAGCGUGGGGAGCAAACAGG
rnacentral:rRNA from 1 species